GUACAUGUGGCUCAGUGGUAGAGCAUAGGCUUAGCAAGCUGAAGGCCUUGGGUUCGACCCCCAGCACUACA
rnacentral:tRNA from 1 species